GUGUCAGCCGCCGCGGUAAUACGGAGGGGGCCAGCGUUGUUCGGAAUCAUUGGGCGUAAAGGGCGCGUAGGCGGCCGAUCAAGUCCGACGUGAAAUUCCCCGGCUCAACCGGGGGCCUGCGUCGGAUACUGCUCGGCUCGAGUCCCGGAGAGGGUAGUGGAAUUCCCAGUGUAGCGGUGAAAUGCGUAGAUACUGGGAGGAACACCGGUGGCGAAGGCGGCUACCUGGACGGGUACUGACGCUGAGGCGCGAAAGCUAGGGGAGCAAACAGGAUUAGAAACCCGGGUAGUCC
rnacentral:rRNA from 1 species